GCAGUUUGGAUUGGCCUCUGGCAUCAGGGCUGUCAACUUACUGGCUGACACUGACAAUGUAAUAAGGCCUGGCAUGAAACAAAAAUGAACUCAACAAAUCAUAUUUUCUUUGGGCCUUUGGAACUAAGAACUUCAGGGUGAAGCAACAAGUUUCCAAGGGUUUUGAUGCUGAAGGAAUGGAGGAACCCUGACAGGCUAGGGAAGGCUGAAAUACCAAAGCCUCUGAAAGUGUUCUUUUGUCUUUGAAUUCAAGAAAAACUAACCAGGACCAGCUUAAGACUUCUGCUGCCCCAAGAACCUGUGGUUCUAGAAGUUGUGGAAAGGCUCUCCUAGAGUGUAACUCCCUCCAUCACCCACAGUAGCAGGGCUCACUGUGGCCAGAAGAGCAGUCCCUGGAAUAUGUCUCUGUAUCUCUCCUUUUGCUUCUGCAACAAAAUAGGCAUGCCUGCCUCCUGCCAGCCACAAACAUGUAAACUUCUUAAGAUCUGAUUUGAUCAUAUUCUCAACAAGGAAAACAAAAACAACCAUGGGUAUAAACUGUGCCUUCUCACAUUCAUCUGUCAACCCUAACCUGAUAACCCCCAGUGAAGCCACAAGAACCUACUCAUCUUUGGACUUGUAAACUUGAGGAGUAUUUACCCUGUUGAAUAAGUCCUCAACCUCAAAAAUGAAUGCAAGCUGUCUAUCAGCGCUGGUGUGCUUACCUGGAAACGGGAGCUUUUCAGGGGCUGCGAUAGGAAAUGACCACUGUGGCUUUGCUGCAAACCUUUGAGAGGAGUUCCUUGCAGGCCUCCUAAAGGAUAAAAGUGAGGUGCAUAUUGUAACUCAUCAUGAAUUCAGUGAUGUGUCUGUCAACAGCUGUUGACACCAGGCGACAGAGAACUUCAGGCCCCUGCUGCCCCAGUGAAGGCAGCCGAGAAACCACCCGGAAAAUGUAUCACUACAGAGAGCUGCCAACAGGGAUGGCGUCUCCCUGGCACCAGCUACACAAUCUGAAACCUGUCUCUGAUCAGUCACAUAGACUGGAAGGGUACAGAGAGACAAAACAUCUGGUUACGGGCUGCACUUUCUAUUUUGCCGCCAAGUAUUUUGGCGUCAUGGAGAUUAGGACUUGACUGGUCUUGGUGGAAAAUUGCGCUGAUCUGAUUUUGUAGAUGAAGUUGAACAUGGGUAUGUGAGUGUGAGUAAGUCCACACCUGCUUUGUCAUUUCAGAAGCAAUUCAGGCAGGACACUCAUUACACACGAAGGGGGCAAGCCACACCUCCCAUUCCCAUAUGUGGUUUCAUGGGCUAGAAUUUCAAAGAUUUCCUGUGUUGGAAAGAGAUACCUUAGCAGUGCCUAGCAGUAAUGACAUACUUUCGAAUUGCCGUCAUAAAGAGUAAGAGCAAAUCUUACCGCCUCUUCUUACAUUUUUCUCUGUAACUUUACACAGUAAAAUUCACUCUUUGCAGUGGACAUCUCUAUAGGUUUUAACAAACGAAUACCAUUGCCGUAUGUAUAUCACAUGAUAUACACAUCUCAUGAUCAUAUCCAGAGGAGCCCAGUGCCCCUCCAAACUCCCUCAUUCUCCCCCUUUGUGGUCAGCUGUCACUACCACCCUCACCUCUGGCAACCUCUGGCCAGGACUGUAUCCUAAGGUUUUGUCUUUUCCAAAAUAUUAUGUAAAUGGAAACAUCAUACAGGGUGGAACCAUU